rnacentral:rRNA from 1 species
UACGUAAGGGGCCAGCGUUGUCCGGAAUCAUUGGGCGUAAAGAGCGUGUAGGCGGCCAUUUAAGUCCUGCGUGAAAUCCUGCGGCUCAACCGCAGGCGGUCGUGGGAAACUGGAUGGCUAGAGUGCGGGAGAGGAGAGUGGAAUUCCUGGUGUAGCGGUGGAAUGCGCAGAUAUCAGGAAGAACACCCGUGGCGAAGGCGGCUCUCUGGAACGCAACUGACGCUGAGACGCGAAAGCGUGGGGAGCAAACAGG